rnacentral:rRNA from 1 species
GGUGUAGGUGGCUAUAUAAGUCAGGUGUGAAAGCCCGGGGCUCAACCUCGGAAGUGCAUUUGAUACUGCAUAGCUUGAGUGCGGGAGAGGCUAUUAGAAUUCCAGGUGUAGUGGUGAAAUACGUAGAUAUCUGGAGGAAUACCGGAGGCGAAGGCGGAUGGCUGGCCCGACACUGACACUCAGACCCGAAACGCGUGGGGAUCAAACA